AAUAGAUACCCGGGUAGUCCACGCCGUAAACGUUGGAUACUAGGUGUGGCGGUUAUACCAAUGACUGCCGUGCCGAAGCUAACGCAUUAAGUAUCCCGCCUGGGGAGUACGGCCGCAAGGCUAAAACUCAAAGGAAUUGACGGGUCCCCGCACAAGCGGCGGAGCAUGCGGCUUAACUCGAUGCAACCCGAAGAACCUUACCUGGGUUUGACAUCACGGGAAAAGCUGUAGAAAUACAGUGUCCGUAAGGGCCCGUGACAGGUGGUGCAUGGCUGUCGUCAGCUCGUGUCGUGAGAUGUUGGGUUAAGUCCCGCAACGAGCGCAACCCUUGUCCUAUGUUGCCAGCAGUUCGGCUGGGGACUCGUAGGAGACUGCCGGGGAUAACUCGGAGGAAGGUGAGGACGACGUCAAGUCAUCAUGCCCCUUAUGCCCAGGGCUGCAAACACGCUACAAUGGCCGGUACAGAGGGCUGCGAUCCCGCGAGGGUGAGCGAAUCCCACAAAGCCGGUCUCAGUUCGGAUUGGAGU
rnacentral:rRNA from 1 species